rnacentral:rRNA from 1 species
AGUGAACGCUGGCGGUAGGCCUAACACAUGCAAGUCGAACGGCAGCACAGUAAGAGCUUGCUCUUACGGGUGGCGAGUGGCGGACGGGUGAGGAAUACAUCGGAAUCUACUUUUUCGUGGGGGAUAACGUGGGGAAACUUACGCUAAUACCGCAUACGACCUACGGGUGAAAGCAGGGGAUCUUCGGACCUUGCGCGAUUGAAUGAGCCGAUGUCGGAUUAGCUAGUUGGCGGGGUAAAGGCCCACCAGGGCGACGAUCCGUAGCUGGUCUGAGAGGAUGAUCAGCCACACUGGAACUGAGACACGGUCCAGACUCCUACGGGAGGCAGCAGUGGGGAAUAUUGGACAAUGGGCGCAAGCCUGAUCCAGCCAUACCGCGUGGGUGAAGAAGGCCUUCGGGUUGUAAAGCCCUUUUGUUGGGAAAGAAAAGCAGCAGGUUAAUACCCCGCUGUUCUGACGGUACCCAAAGAACAAGCACCGGCUAACUUCGUG